UUCUUGUAGUUAAAAUUAUAUAACGGCGGCUUUUCAGGUCGUAGGUCUUGGAGAGAAGCCAAACAGGAAC
rnacentral:tRNA from 1 species